rnacentral:sRNA from 1 species
UAAACCCCAUUGCCCAGGCAGACGCUCA